GACGAACGCUGGCGGCGCGCUUAACACAUGCAAGUCGAACGGAAAGGCCUGCUUUCCCUUGUGGAUUGCGGGUACUCGAGUGGCGAACGGGUGAGUAACACGUGAGUGAUCUGCCCCCAACUUGGGUAUAAGCCUGGGAAACUGGGUCUAAUUCCCGAUAGGACUGCAGGGUGGUGCCUGUGGUGGAAAACGAUUUUCUAGUGGUUGGGGAUGAGCUCGCGGCCUAUCAGCUUGUUGGUGGGGUAAUGGCCUACCAAGGCGGCGACGGGUAGCCGGCCUGAGAGGGUGGACGGCCACAUUGGGACUGAGAUACGGCCCAGACUCCUACGGGAGGCAGCAGUGGGGAAUAGUGCACAAUGGGCGGAAGCCUGAUGCAGCGACGCCGCGUGGGGGAUGACGGCCUUCGGGUUGUAAACUCCUUUCGACCGCGAGGAAGCCACCUGGUUGGAAGGGUGGUGACGGUAGUGGCAGAAGAAGCACCGGCUAACUACGUG
rnacentral:rRNA from 1 species